UACGAACCGUCCAAACGUUAUUCGGAUUCAUUGGGCUUAAAGGGUACGUAGGCGGCGCUAUCAGUCGGGUGUGAAAGCCCUCGGCUCAACCGAGGAACUGCGCCCGAUACUGUAGUGCUUGAGGGAGACAGAGGUAAGCGGAACUGAUGGUGGAGCGGUGAAAUGCGUUGAUAUCAUCAGGAACACCGGUGGCGAAAGCGGCUUACUGGGUCUCUUCUGACGCUGAGGUACGAAGGCCAGGGGAGCAAACGGG
rnacentral:rRNA from 1 species